GCGUGCCUAAUACAUGCAAGUCGAGCGGACAGAUGGGAGCUUGCUCCCUGAUGUUAGCGGCGGACGGGUGAGUAACACGUGGGUAACCUGCCUGUAAGACUGGGAUAACUCCGGGAAACCGGGGCUAAUACCGGAUGGUUGUUUGAACCGCAUGGUUCAGACAUAAAAGGUGGCUUCGGCUACCACUUACAGAUGGACCCGCGGCGCAUUAGCUAGUUGGUGAGGUAACGGCUCACCAAGGCAACGAUGCGUAGCCGACCUGAGAGGGUGAUCGGCCACACUGGGACUGAGACACGGCCCAGACUCCUACGGGAGGCAGCAGUAGGGAAUCUUCCGCAAUGGACGAAAGUCUGACGGAGCAACGCCGCGUGAGUGAUGAAGGUUUUCGGAUCGUAAAGCUCUGUUGUUAGGGAAGAACAAGUGCCGUUCAAAUAGGGCGGCACCUUGACGGUACCUAACCAGAAAGCCACGGCUAACUACGUGCCAGCAGCCGCGGUAAUACGUAGGUGGCAAGCGUUGUCCGAAUUAUUGGGCGUAAGGGCUCGCAGGCGGUUCUUAAUCUGAUGGAAACCCCCGCUCACC
rnacentral:rRNA from 1 species